rnacentral:rRNA from 1 species
CCCUUAGAUGUUCUGGGCUGCACGCGCGCUACAAUGGCGUUUUCAAAAAGAUUGCUAAUCCGAAAGGACCAGCGGAUCUUCGAAGUGGCGUCGUGAUCGGGACAGUUGAUUGCAAUUAUUCGACUCGAACGAGGAAUUCCUUGUAAUCGUGCGUCAUCAGCGCACGCUGAAUACGUCCCUGUUCUUUGUACACACCGCCCGUCGCUCCUACCGAUUGAGUGGUCCGGUGAGGCUUUGGGAUCUGAGCGGAAAGAGCGUUUCGCUGUUUCUGCUCGGAAAACUCAGUCGAACCUUAUCAUUUAGAGGAAGGAGAAGUCGUAACA